UACAGAGGGUGCUAGCGUUGUUCGGAAUCAUUGGGCGUAAAGGGCGUGUAGGCGGUUUGUUAAGUCAUGUGUGAAAGCCCCGGCUCAACCGGGGAACGACGCAUGAAACUGGCAAGCUAGAGUACCGAAGAGGGUGGAAUUCCCGGGUGUAGCGGUGAAAUGCGUAGAUAUCGGGGAGGAACACCUGUGGCGAAGGCGGCCCCCUGGUCGGAUACUGACGCUGAGACGCGAAAAGCGUGGGGAGCAAACAGGG
rnacentral:rRNA from 1 species